rnacentral:rRNA from 1 species
GACGUAGGAGGCGAGCGUUGUCCGGAUUCAUUGGGCGUAAAGAGCACGCAGGCGGUUUGGCAAGUCGGACGUGAAAAUCCGGGGCUCAACCCCGGACCUGCAUCCGAAACUGCCCGACUAGAGGUAGGUAGGGGAGAUCGGAAUUCCUGGUGUAGCGGUGAAAUGCGCAGAUAUCAGGAGGAACACCGGUGGCGAAGGCGGAUCUCUGGGCCUUACCUGAUGCUCAGGUGCGAAAGCUAGGGGAGCGAACAGG